AACUCUGAGAGGUGGAUCACUUGGCUUGCACAUAGACGAAGAACGCAGAUAACUGCAAGAACUAAUGUAAAUUGCAGGAUGUAUUGAUCAUUGAUCAUCGAUACUUUGAAUGCACUUUGCAGCCCCAGGUUACUCCCAAGGCUACACCUUUCUGAGGGUUG